ensembl:antisense
UACACACGCGCCAAACACUCUCUCUCUCUCUCUCUCCUGUCUGUCUCUCCCUCCCUCAGCUUCACUCGCUCUUGUGCUGUAAGUUCAUUUGCUGUGUCAAGCAACAACUGGCUCGGGAGUGGGCAGUGGGUUUUGAUCCUUUUGUCAAGCGUCCCCCCUGCGAGCGUGUACCGCGUCCACCUGCACACCACGGGACUGGUCGCCUGGCUCUGUGUAGCAUCGCCUGGGUUUAUCACGAUUGGGCAUCUCCAACCCGCACAACAAGAUGCUGCUGAGGGUUUGACGGGGUGCACCCUUUACAGUGGACUAUCAUCACCAUCAUCAUCAUCGCCGUGGCAAUGGGAAUCAAGACAUGCAUGCUCGCCGGAGGACCUCCACGGGGUCCUUGCAUCCCAGGUGAGUUUACGCUGUUGGGGGGGGCUUACCCAUAACCCCCUUCGCCCCAUCCCCCCUGCUUCUUCAUUAAAUGCACCUUUCCCCCGAACGGCCCUGUGAGAGCACAGAUUGCUGGGAGGAAACGGGACACAAAACACACUUACCAACACAUUUCCUCUGAGGCGUUUACUGAACCAAAAUGCACUGUUAAUUUCUGUUUGCAGACGAGCCGUUGAGGGGCCCUUGCCUUGCGCUACAAAGCGUCUUCAAUCAAUUGUUUUGAAAAAGGCCGUUUUCCGAACAACAGGCAGGCGGUUCUGUUGUUUCCCUCUAUAAAGGACUCUCUUCGGUGACGGGUAUUCUUGGGUGGAUAAUACGGCUCUCGUUGUUAUUGCUUAAGAAUACGCGUAGUCGAGGAGAGUCAUGUCGGCGGCGAGAGAGCGUUGAAUCCAGAAGGCCCACCUGCCUGCACGCACACAUGCGUUUGGUUCACGCCCACAUCCAUUUAUUGAGUCAGCGAUACUGCAUUUCCUGUUUGUGUGUGUGUGUGGUUGUGUGUGAAGCUUGUGCUGUUGAUUUAUCCGGCGACUCCUACCAAACAUCUUUUCAGCCAUCGGAUUUAUGAUUCGCCGAAAAAAGAAGGGAAUGGUGUAUGUUGUAACACAUCGGGCGGGGUUUAGAUGCAAAUGUGCCAUAUAUUCUUUUCUCAGGACCGCACACACUCUACCUUUUUAAUGCAAAUUGAUUUUGAAAUGACAUUUAUCGCGCAGGGUUUCCGUAUGGAGAGGGGAAAAAAGAAUUGAAUGAAACGUCCACGAUGCCACUGACAGCUAAAUUUAUGCGGCUUGUAAAGGGACACACUGCAGAUAAACAGUUACCGAGGCUUUAGAUUGACUGCGGCGCGGCUUCCCAUGUAGGCACGCGUAUAUAUCUUGAAUGUAUCAUGAAUAUGUAUCAGGCCAGCUUAUGAUGCUGCGUUCUAACGCCCAUGAAAUCCAUUUAGGAAACCUAAUAGGAUCUACUUGACUUAUGAAAGCUUACCAUCAGGUCUUAUAAAUAUACAUGAAAUCAAAACAAAUGGAUUGCAUUUGGACCGGCUUGUUGAUGUACUGAUUUGUAAAAUCUGCAAACAUUUUAAUUCGUUCGCCAUUAUUAUGCAGCACGUUUAAGUGAUGUAUUAGCAUUUCAGAUAGACUAAAGGCAACAAUCAGCCCGCUCUAUCCUUGAUCACUCUGUAAUUAUCCUUCUUUCGGCUAUGUGUUUAAAUGAAUAGAGAGAAAAGAGGUGUGGAGGAGGAAUAAUGUAGGGUUUUACCACUAGGGGACCCACACAACUGAAAAUCACAUGGGAUUGUAUUGGUUUAACUCAUUUGACUGCCGUUUCUUAAAGAUUUAAAAUGAAUAUUGAUGAAAAUCUAACACCUUUCGGCUGAUUAAAACGAGUUUAUUCUUUGCACGCAGAUUUAAAAUGAAUGACGUUUCAUUUAUUCCUUUAUUAAUUUAUGCUAAACCGUGCCUUGAGAGAGAAUUGCAAGAAAGGUCACAUGCAAGCCAUUUGAUUAGCCAUUAUAUGAUAUAUUAAGAGUAUUUUCUUGUAUUUCAGAUGCUUAAAUGAUUCCAUGCUCCCAUAGUUCUGAUGUAUGAUAGCAUGUUGGUCGACUUUCUUUCUCUUUUUGUGAUGCUGUUGAGUAAAUAUCUCACUGUAAACCCUUGACACUGAUUAACUUCCAUCUGUCUGCAGUUUAUGACGUGAUGAAAUUACUCAGGCCUUCACAGCUCAUCUUGAAAUUAUUUUUAUGUGCACAUCAUCUUUGUUCCUCCCCCUUAUAUUAUAAAUAAAGCUUGAUUUAAGUCAAAUUAUGAUGCUUUUGUAUAUUUUGUCCCUUGUAGGUGAAGGAUCGGUUUUAAAUGUAGGCUACAAUGAAGCUUAAAAUCAAAUAAAAAUCCAUGUAUGGACACAACAAACAUUUCUGUCUUCGAAAAGCCUGUUGAGAUUUAUUGAGAUGUUUAUUUUUGCUAUGGGGUUUUUCUUGGUGUAGUGAUUAUUGAAUAAUAUUUCAUUAUUAGAGUGUCCUAGCAGGUGGCAUUCAGA